rnacentral:lncRNA from 1 species
AUACUCUUCGUCUUUUUCUUUUUUUUUUUCUUAUCUUACACUUUACAACAAAAUACAAUAACCAAGUUUAACACUCUUGUUAAUACCGACCGUCCCUAGUACAAAUGGUAAAAGACUUAUGGUUAAUAUUCGAGAUCUCAAGUUCGAAUUUUAUCCAUCGGCUCGGUGAUUGGUAUUUGAGAUUCGAAGUUUGANUAGGGCUAGAAUACUUUUACAAGUAUCACCCAAGUGAUACUUGUGUGUUUUUAGCCCUUGGAUGGAGAGAUGUGAGGUUGAGAUGAUGGUGGUAGGUGGUGGUAGGUGGAAUAGUAUUUGAUCCAAGGGCUAUGUGUAAUCAAAAAGUAAAUCCAAUGGCUAAAAACGUGAUAGCAACAUGGGGAUGAUACUUGUAAAAGUAUCCUAGAUCAACUCUAUAAAUAUAUAUAUAUAUAUAUAUAUAUAUAUAUAUAUAUAUAUAUAUAUGAGUCCGGCUAGGGUACUAUCGAUAGCACUAAGGAUUUGGUGCUAUCGAGUUUUUCACUGUUAAAUUUAACCCUUUGAGUAUUUUUACCCGUUAGAGUAUACUAUUUAACCAACCACUUACUCAACCCUAGAGGGCCCACAUCAUCAUAACCGCACAUUUCUCAAUCCAGGGGCUAAAAAAUUAAUAGCACCAAUAACUUGGUACUAUUGAUAGUAUUCCAACCUAGUUCUCACUCUCUAUAUAUAUAAUGCAUCAAAAUUAAAAAUAUAAAAUUGAAUUUGCGCUUUUGAGGCGAGUAAAGCCAAAGAGGUUUACGAGUGCUUUUUGGAAAAGCUCCUUUAAUUAAGCAAAAUAAGCCGUGAUCAAGCAGUGAGCUCUCCCUUAAUUAAAUGUGUUUGCAGUGGAAGAGGCCAUGAAUAGUCGAUAUCCCUGUAACCCUAUUGCAAGACCCAAACAAUGAGCCUCCACAGUGACCUCAACAAGAAAACAAAAACCCCUAAUAAAUGCUCGUGAUGCUUUUGAGCUUUCCAACGAAUCAUCAUCUGUUGAAACAUCACAUUCCAUCUCUCCAUCAGUCAAACAGGGACUUAAAUACUCGCCCAUCAAAUAAUAUAAAUAAAUAAUAAAUAAAUAUAUAUAUAUAAAGGACUUAGGUUUUUUCACUUCUUAACUUUUGGAUCAAGGACAGUAUAAUUAGAAUGAUAGUAGACCCCUAUAUAAGGUUGAGUUAAUAAUUUGAAACAACCAACUCUUUUAUAUUUUCGAAAAAAUCAUAGUAGAAUAUAUAUAUAUAUAUAUAUAUAUAUAUGUAUAUAGGCCAAUUUGCAUAAAAAAUCCACUUAUUUUGGGAUUUUGCAAAACCGGGCCACCUUUUUCCUUUUUGCAGAUUCGGUCCGCUUUUUCCGCCGCCUGACCAAAAUGCCCCUCCUAUACAAUAGCCUCCCGCGUAUUUCUUGACAUACGUAUACUACCCUGCCGUACGUUCUGGCGCGCAUUAAAUGACCCGUUCAAUCUCAGUCAUUUCUCGGAACCCGGACAACAUCCGCCCCCGCUAUUCGCCGGCCCCGCUGUUUCCUGUUUGGCUUUAAUUCUUUAAUACAAUAAUUCACGAUAAAUGAGAAAAUAUGCACGGCCCGAGUAGGGAUAAUAGUGCAACGCAAAGUGAAACGUCCGAAAAAAUGGUACAACUGCCAUUAUAACAGUGCAUCGCUAGGUCGCACCAGUGCAACCUCUCCAAAAUCAGUCAAAAUUUUACUUUCUCUAUUCCUUAAUAUAAUCUCAACNNNNNNNNNNNNNNNNNNNNNNNNNNNNNNNNNNNNNNNNNNNNNNNNNNNNNNNNNNNNNNNNNNGAAAUUAAGAAGUGAAGACUCCGCUCGGAUAACCUCUCCAACGAACCCUUAUAAGUAGUACGAGUCUUUUCAAAAUAUUGCACUGGUUUACCAACCUUAUUGCACUUUCGUUGCACAUGUUUUAAAUCGAUUGCACUAUUAUUUAUACCCAUCUCCAUGAACGAACAUCAUACCACAUAUUAUCCUUGCACUUACGAUCUGCUUUGAAAAUUAUUGUAUCUUGGUUGUGUUUAUACACGACCUGCAACUAACAACAGCGGCUUCAUUAUUAUUUUGAGGAUAUUAUUUUGUUUAUGUUAAUGUUAAUACUACUAUUUCUAAGGUCUAUGUCUGUUAAAGGUAAUAUGUCAACAACCACGUGCUAUGUAGAAUGCGUUCAUAUAUUCUGUCGAAGCCUUUUCAUGCGUUAUAAAACCUGACUUUCGGUAAGAACAGUUUGUACAAUCGUCCAUAGGGACCCCUAUGUAACGCUCUCGGAAAAGCUCCUGCGCGCGGGCGACCUCCAGCGCCGCCGCCGUGCUUCUCUGCUUGCCUGACUCUUAGUCGCUACAUAUGUCGCCGACUCAUUGCGAUACCCGCAGCAACGUCCUGACCCCGACAGCUUCGUCUUCAUUGGAAUGGUAGCCCGUAUAAUUUGCAGAUACUAUGUUAGACUCUCUCUCUCUCUCUCUCUCUCUCUCUCUCUAUAUAUAUAUAUAUAUAUAUAUAUAUAUAUAUAUUGAGAGAGAGAGAGAGAGAGAGUUCAGCUACUAUAUUCUUAUGAGUAUAGUUCUUUUUGCACUCAUAAAUUUUCGGACGUUAGAUCUAUCAUUUUGAUUAUUUUUAUCCGUUUCAUCAUACUAUUCAACCAGUCACUCAUUUAACUUUAGGAAACUACUAUUAUUCUAAUCGAAGACUAUUAUUAUCCUAAUCGCACAUUCUUUUAUCUAACAGCAAAAAAUUUAUAAAUACAAAAUAGUUUAUACUCAUAAGAGUAUAAUAGCUCUACUAUAUAUAUAUAUAUAUAUAUAUAUAUAUAUAUAGGGCUAGAAUACUUUUACAAGUAUCACCCAAGUGAUACUUGUGUGUUUUUAGCCCUUGGAUGGAGAGAUGUGAGGUUGAGAUGAUGGUGGUAGGUGGUGGUAGGUGGAAUAGUAUUUGAUCCAAGGGCUAUGUGUAAUCAAAAAGUAAAUCCAAUGGCUAAAAACGUGAUAGCAACAUGGGGAUGAUACUUGUAAAAGUAUCCUAGAUCAAC